UGGAACGAUACAGAGAAGAUUAGCAUGGC
rnacentral:piRNA from 4 species